rnacentral:rRNA from 1 species
CCUACGGGUGGCAGCAGUGAGGAAUAUUGGUCAAUGGUCGGGAGACUGAACCAGCCAAGUCGCGUGAGGGAGGAAGGUACUACGUAUUGUAAACCUCUUUUGUCAGGGAACAAAGACCGGGACGCGUCCCCGGACGAGAGUACCUGAAGAAAAAGCAUCGGCUAACUCCGUGCCAGCAGCCGCGGUAAUACGGAGGAUGCGAGCGUUAUCCGGAUUUAUUGGGGUUAAAGGGUGCGCAGGCGGUCGUGGAAGGUCAGGGUUAAAAGCGCGGGCCUCAACCCCGCCCCGCCGUUGAAACUGGCAGUCUGGAGUUGGAGAGAAGUAUGCGGAAUGCGCGGUGUAGCGGUGAAAUGCAUAGAUAGCGCGCAGAACUCCGAUUGCGAAGGCAGCAUGCCGGCUCCACACUGACGCUGAGGCACGAAAGCGUGGGUAUCGAACAGGAUUAGAUACCCGUGUAGUC